CCAUCACAGGCUGAUGUCCAGCCCAGUUUAGCAGUGUGUAGUGCUUCUACACCAAGCACGGCUACACAGGACCUUCAAGUUUCUGCCCCCGUCCUCACAUCCACUACGGCAGUGACCAGUUCCACAGAGCCGUCCGGCAUUGUCUCAACUGCACCUUCUGGGUCAUUGUUGCAAGCUCCAUCAGCUGUUCCACUUCC